rnacentral:rRNA from 1 species
UACGGAGGGUGCAAGCGUUAUCCGGAUUCACUGGGUUUAAAGGGCGCGUAGGCGGCCGGGUUGGUCGUGGGUGAAAUCCCCCAGCUUAACUGGGGAAUUGCCUACGAUACUGCCUGGCUCGAGGGAGGAAGGGGCGGCCGGAACUGUCGGUGGAGCGGUGAAAUGCGUUGAGAUCGACAGGAACGCCGGUGGCGAAAGCGGGCCGCUGGCCCUCUUCUGACGCUGAUGCGCGAAAGCCAGGGGAGCGAACGGG